rnacentral:rRNA from 1 species
AGUCGAGCGCGAAAGUUCCUUCGGGAAUGAGUAGAGCGGCGGACGGGUGAGUAACGCGUGGGAAAUUGCCCAGUAGUGGGGGACAACAUUCGGAAACGGAUGCUAAUACCGCAUACGCCCUACGGGGGAAAGCGGGGGAUCUUCGGACCUCGUGCUAUUGGAUAUGCCCGCGUCGGAUUAGCUUGUUGGUGAGGUAAUGGCUCACCAAGGCGACGAUCCGUAGCUGGUCUGAGAGGAUGAUCAGCCACACUGGGACUGAGACACGGCCCAGACUCCUACGGGAGGCAGCAGUGGGGAAUAUUGGACAAUGGGGGCAACCCUGAUCCAGCCAUGCCGCGUGUGUGAAGAAGGCCUUCGGGUUGUAAAGCACUUUCAGUAGGGAGGAAGGCCUGUAGAUUAAUACUCUGCAGGAUUGACGUUACCUACAGAAGAAGCACCGGCUAACUCCGUGCCAGCAGCCGCGGUAAUACGGAGGGUGCGAGCGUUAAUCGGAAUUACUGGGCGUAAAGCGCGCGUAGGCGGUUAGUUAAGCUGGAUGUGAAAGCCCCGGGC